CUCUGGAUGACUCCUAUUUAAGGUUUAUGUAGACUGUGGAUGACUCCUAUUUAAGGUUUAUGUAGACUGUGGAUGACUCCUAUUUCAGGUUUAUGUAGACUGUAGAUGACUCCUAUUUCAGGUUUAUGUAGACUGUGGAUGACUCCUAUUUCAGGUUUAUGUAGACUGUGGAUGACUCCUAUUUAAGGUUUAUGUAGACUGUGGAUGACUCCUAUUUAAGGUUUAUGUAGACUGUGGAUGACUCCUAUUUAAGGUUUAUGUAGACUGUGGAUGACUCCUAUUUAAGGUUUAUGUAGACUGUAGAUGACUCCUAUUUAAGGUUUAUGUAGACUGUAGAUGACUCCUAUUUAAGGUUUAUGUAGACUGUGGAUGACUCCUAUUUCAGGUUUAUGUAGACUGUGGAUGACUCCUAUUUCAGGUUUAUGUAGACUGUGGAUGACUCCUAUUUCAGGUUUAUGUAGACUGUGGAUGACUCCUAUUUCAGGUUUAUGUAGACUGUGGAUGACUCCUAUUUAAGGUUUAUGUAGACUGUGGAUGACUCCUAUUUAAGGUUUAUGUAGACUGUGGAUGACUCCUAUUUAAGGUUUAUGUAGACUGUGGAUGACUCCUAUUUAAGGUUUAUGUAGACUCUGGAUGACUCCUAUUUAAGGUUUAUGUAGACUCUGGAUGACUCCUAUUUAAGGUUUAUGUAGACUCUGGAUGACUCCUAUUUAAGGUUUAUGUAGACUCUGGAUGACUCCUAUUUACGGUUUAUGUAGACUCUGGAUGAUUCCUAUUUAAGGUUUAUGUAGACUCUGGAUGACUCCUAUUUAAGGUUUAUGUAGACUCUGGAUGACUCCUAUUUAAGGUUUAUGUAGACUCUGGAUGACUCCUAUUUAAGGUUUAUGUAGACUGUGGAUGACUCCUAUUUAAGGUUUAUGUAGACUGUAGAUGACUCCUAUUUAAGGUUUAUGUAGACUGUAGAUGACUCCUAUUUAAGGUUUAUGUAGACUGUGGAUGACUCCUAUUUAAGGUUUAUGUAGACUGUGGAUGACUCCUAUUUAAGGUUUAUGUAGACUGUGGAUGACUCCUAUUUAAGGUUUAUGUAGACUGUGGAUGACUCCUAUUUAAGGUUUAUGUACACUCUGGAUGAUGACUCCUAUUUAAGGUUUAUGUAGACUCUAGAUGACUACUAUUUAAGGUUUAUGUAGACUGUGGAUGACUUCUAUUUAAGGUUUAUGUAGACUGUGGAUGACUCCUAUUUAAGGUUUAUGUAGACUCUGGAUGACUCCUAUUUAAGGUUUAUGUAGACUCUGGAUGACUCCUAUUUAAGGUUAUGUAGACUCUGGAUGAUGACUCCUAUUUAAGGUUUAUGUAGACUCUGGAUGACUCCUAUUUAAGGUUUAUGUAGACUCUGGAUGACUCCUAUUUAAGGUUUAUGUAGACUGUGGAUGACUCCUAUUUAAGGUUUAUGUAGACUCUGGAUGACUCCUAUUUCAGGUUUAUGUAGACUGUGGAUGACUCCUAUUUAAGGUUCAUGUAGACUCUGGAUGACUCCUAUUUAAGGUUUAUGUAGACUCUGGAUGACUCCUAUUUAAGGUUUAUGUAGACUCUGGAUGACUCCUAUUUCAGGUUUAUGUAGACUGUGGAUGACUCCUAUUUAAGGUUUAUGUAGACUCUGGAUGACUCCUAUUUAAGGUUUAUGUAGACUCUGGAUGACUCCUAUUUAAGGUUUAUGUAGACUCUGGAUGACUCCUAUUUAAGGUUUAUGUAGACUGUGGAUGACUCCUAUUUAAGGUUUAUGUAGACUCUGGAUGACUCCUAUUUACGGUUUAUGUAGACUGUGGAUGACUCCUAUUUAAGGUUUAUGUAGACUGUGGAUGACUCCUAUUUAAGGUUUAUGUAGACUGUGGAUGACUCCUAUUUAAGGUUUAUGUAGACUGUGGAUGACUCCUAUUUAAGGUUUAUGUAGACUGUGGAUGACUCCUAUUUAAGGUUUAUGUAGACUGUGGAUGACUUCUAUUUAAGGUUUAUGUAGACUGUGGAUGACUCCUAUUUAAGGUUUAUGUAGACUCUGGAUGACUCCUAUUUAAGGUUUAUGUAGACUCUGGAUGACUCCUAUUUAAGGUUAUGUAGACUCUGGAUGAUGACUCCUAUUUAAGGUUUAUGUAGACUGUGGAUGACUCCUAUUUAAGGUUUAUGUAGACUCUGGAUGACUCCUAUUUAAGGUUUAUGUAGACUGUGGAUGACUCCUAUUUAAGGUUUAUGUAGACUCUGGAUGACUCCUAUUUCAGGUUUAUGUAGACUGUGGAUGACUCCUAUUUAAGGUUCAUGUAGACUCUGGAUGACUCCUAUUUAAGGUUUAUGUAGACUCUGGAUGACUCCUAUUUAAGGUUUAUGUAGACUCUGGAUGACUCCUAUUUCAGGUUUAUGUAGACUCUGGAUGACUCCUAUUUCAGGUUUAUGUAGACUGUGGAUGACUCCUAUUUAAGGUUUAUGUAGACUGUGGAUGACUCCUAUUUAAGGUUUAUGUAGACUCUAGAUGACUCCUAUUUAAGGUUUAUGUAGUAAACUUUGGUAUUCUUUGUCAAUAUGUCUGAAGUUGUGUACAUUUAUUAAUAAACUUGUAAAUAUUUUAA